rnacentral:rRNA from 1 species
GACGAACGCUGGCGGCGUGCCUAAUACAUGCAAGUCGAACGCAGUGGGGACGGGUGAGUAACACGUGGGUAACCUCCCAUCAGAGGGGAUAACCCUUGGAAACAGGUGCUAAACCGAUACUGAUGGAUGGACCCGCGGUGCAUUAGCUAGUGGGUGAGGUAACGGCUCACCAAGGCCACGAUGCAUAGCCGACCUGGUAGGGUGAUCGGCCACACUGGGACUGAGACACGGCCAAGACGCCUACGGGAGGCAGCAGUGGGGAAUAUUGCACAAUGGGCGCAAGCCGUAUGCAGCCAUGCCGCGUGUAUGAAGAGGGCCUUCGGGUUGUAAAGUACUUUCAGCGGGGAGGCGUUACCCGCAGAAGAAGCACCGGCUAACUCCGUGCCAGCAGCCGCGGUAAUAC